rnacentral:rRNA from 1 species
AAAAACAUUGCCUCUCGACUCAACAAUGAGAGGUUCAUCCUGCCCAUGACAACAUAGUUUAAUGGCCGCGGUACCCUGACCGUGCAAAGGUAGCAUAAUCAUUUGCCCCUUAAUUAGGGGCUAGCAUGAAAGGACACACGAAAGCUUCCCUGUCUCACAAUAACAAAUAAAAAUUAAUCUUCAAGUGAAAAAGCUUGAAUGAAACUGCAGGACAAGAAGACCCCGUUGAGCUUUAUUCUCUAUAGACUAAAUCAAAUAUUAAAUAUAUCAUAAACCUAAAAAGAAUUUAGUUGGGGUGACUAAGGAACACCAAAAACUUCCUUUUAUUAAUUAGGAUUAUUCUCCAUAUAAAUUGACCCAUUACAUAUGAUCAAAAAAAUAAGCUACCACAGGGAUAACAGGCUAAUCUUUCUCAAGAGCCCAAAUUGUCAGAAAGGAUUGGCACCUCGAUGUUGGCUUAGGGGCCCCUAAUGGUGCAGAAGCCAUAAAUGGUAGGUUUGUUCAACCUUUAAAACCCUAC